rnacentral:rRNA from 1 species
GAAGUAAAAGUCGUAACAAGGUUUCCGUAGGUGAACCUGCGGAAGGAUCAUUAUUGAAACAUUGUAAAGGAAGGUUGAGCUGGCUCUUCACGAGCAAGUGCUCACUUUUCUUUCAAUCUUCAUCCACCUGUGCACUUUUUGUAGAGAGUUUGAGAAAUGGGCUUAGGUCCAAAGUAUCGGGCUUUCUAUGUUUUACAAACUCUGAACGUAUGUCUUUGAAUGUCAUUUACAAGGUGCUUAAUUGAACCUUUUAAAAACUAUACAACUUUCAGCAACGGAUCUCUUGGCUCUCGCAUCGAUGAAGAACGCAGCGAAAUGCGAUAAGUAAUGUGAAUUGCAGAAUUCAGUGAAUCAUCGAAUCUUUGAACGCACCUUGCGCCUCUUGGUAUUCCGAGAGGCAUGCCUGUUUGAGCGUCAUUAAAUUCUCAACCUCAAAAGCUUUUUUGUUUCUGAGGCUUGGAUGUGGAGGCUUUGCGGGCUCUUUCAUUAGCAGUCAGCUCCUCUUAAAUGCAUUAGUGGAAACCGCUUGUAGUCCGCAUUGGUGUGAUAAUUAUCUGCGCUAUUGUUGGCUACAGCUCUGAGGUGUUCGUUUAGGAAAGUGCAUUAGUUUGCUCUUUCUGUUUACUUGACCCGCAGAGUUGGUAUCUGCUUCGAACCGUCCUAAGUUACUGGACAAUACUUGACUAUUUUGACCUCAAAUCAGGUAGGACUACCCGCUGAACUUAAGCAUAUCAAUAAGCGGAGGAAAAGAAACUAACAAGGAUUCCCCUAGUAACUGCGAGUGAAGAGGGAAAAGCUCAAAUUUAAAAUCUGGCAGCUUC